GGCUGGCGCUGCUGCAGCUGGAGCAGAAAGCCUCUGAGCACACAGAGAAGGAGGCUUCUCUGUUCUUACAACAGGGACUGGAGCACUUUGUCAGCCAGCGCUGCAGCAAGAGGACCGGCAGGAGGCUGAAAGUGAGAAAGCUGCCAAGCUGUCCAUCACCCAACCAGCGGGAGCGAAGGGGCCUUCUGACGCCAGUGUGGCCAAGAGAGGAGCCACGCGGGGCAGGGGAGGGCCUGGUCAAGGGCGAGUGGCAGCAGCAGUAACCAAAGCUCCUGCUCCUGCGCCCCCAGCCCCCAUCAGGGGAGGGAAAGCGGCCCAGCCUGCAGCCAAAACCCCUGCAGCCAGGGUGGGAGCUGGAGCAGCAGCCAAGCCACGUGGACCAGCUAAACCUUCCAACACUGGUACUAGACCCCAGCUCCCCACCAACAAGUCUAAACAGGGCCGUUGCCCCGAUACCGUUGAGACAGCAGAGGUUUCAGAGCCUCUUGUUGGAGACAGAGUCCCUGUGUCCAGUCCAGUGAACCGCAGGUCUCAUAUCUCUCGGCUGGGUCUGGCCCGUGCCCCCUCCCGCUCUGCAGACACCCAGAACCAGGCAAAGCUGCUCUACCAAGAGGUCAUCUCCAUAACGCCAGGGCUGUGCUUGUAGGUUGCAUAGAGAAAUACAUGGACAUCUUGGAUGGAAAGUCCAUGACCAAGUUGCUGAAGAAUGUCUACGCGAGGAUCCAUGACAGACAGGAGGAC